rnacentral:tRNA from 1 species
GGAAGAGUGGCCGAGUGGUUGAAGGCGCACGACUCGAAAUCGUGUUUAUGGCAACAUAACGGAGGUUCGAAUCCUCUCUCUUCCGCCA